rnacentral:rRNA from 1 species
CUGGCGGCGUGCCUAACACAUGCAAGUCGAACGAGAAAGGGUAGCAAUACCUGAGUAAAGUGGCGCACGGGUGAGUAACACGUGACUAACCUACCCUGGAGUGGGGGAUAACUGAGGGAAACCUUAGCUAAUACCGCAUAACACCUACGGGUCAAAGGAGCAAUUCGCUUCAGGAGGGGGUCGCGGCCGAUUAGUUAGUUGGCGGGGUAAUGGCCCACCAAGACGAUGAUCGGUAUCCGGCCUGAGAGGGCGCACGGACACACUGGAACUGAAACACGGUCCAGACUCCUACGGGAGGCAGCAGUGGGGAAUUUUGCGCAAUGGGGGAAACCCUGACGCAGCAACGCCGCGUGGAGGAUGAAGUCCUUCGGGACGUAAACUCCUUUCGAUCGGGACGAUAAUGACGGUACCGGAAGAAGAAGCCCCGGCUAACUUCGUGCCAGCAGCCGCGGUAAUACGAGGGGGGCGAGCGUUGUUCGGAAUUAUUGGGCGUAAAGGGUGCGUAGGCGGUUUUGUAAGUCUCAUGUGAAAUCUAUGGGCUCAACUCAUAGACUGCAUGAGAAACUGCACGGCUUGAGUGUGGGAGAGGUGAGUGGAAUUUCCGGU